UGGGGAAUAUUGGACAAUGGGCGAAAGCCUGAUCCAGCCAUGCCGCGUGUGUGAAGAAGGUCUUCGGAUUGUAAAGCACUUUAAGUUGGGAGGAAGGGCAUUAACCUAAUACGUUAGUGUUUUGACGUUACCGACAGAAUAAGCACCGGCUAACUCUGUGCCAGCAGCCGCGGUAAUACAGAGGGUGCAAGCGUUAAUCGGAAUUACUGGGCGUAAAGCGCGCGUAGGUGGUUUGUUAAGUUGGAUGUGAAAUCCCCGGGCUGAACCUGGGAACUGCAUUCAAAACUGACUGACUAGAGUAUGGUAGAGGGUGGUGGAAUUUCCUGUGUAGCGGUGAAAUGCGUAGAUAUAGGAAGGAACACCAGUGGCGAAGGCGACCACCUGGACUAAUACUGACACUGAGGUGCGAAAGCGUGGGGAGCAAACA
rnacentral:rRNA from 1 species